GACGGCCGCCGGCCGUGCGCUGCCGCCGAGAGGAGCCCGGCCCGAGCGCCGCCCCCGGCCCGACUGGCGCUAGCGCCACCCCCAGGCGCGGAGGGCCAAGUGGCGCUGCUCCGCGUGGCGUCUCGCCCGCCGUCCGCCCACUUCCCCCGGACCCCACGGAGGGACUCCGGUAGGGGGCUGCCCCGCUUGGGGAUGAGGAACUGACCGCAGAUACUGGAAGGAGGCGGCCGUGCGGGGGCUUGGAGCCUCCUGCCGCUCCCGGUGCACUCCCGCGCCAGCCUGGAGGAAGUCCCCGCCAGAAGCCUCCGGCAGGUGGCCCCCCUUGCUGUCGCAGGUCUUGGAACAGGAUAGGCUGCGAGGAGGCCAGGCUGCAAUCUGAGACCCAUAUGGCCCCUACAAGGAAACUUUCCACUGAUGAAGCUACCGGCCAGCCCUUCCUCUUCCUUCUGUCCUGUCUCCUGCCUGUCCCUUGGGCAGUUUCCCAAAGUCUGUUCCUGCUGGCCCUGGAAGGUGGAUGUCUGUCAUCUCCAUGUUGCAGAUCAGAAGCAGCAGCAACUGCAUACAAUUCACCCAAGAUCAUCGUGCUAGCCAACAGUGAACUUACGCCUUGUUUUCAAACCUAGGCACUUUCCUUUUUGCUUUCUUUUCUAAUCAAGCAAUACUAAGGCAAACUUAUUCUCAUGCGUAUGAUGAUAUUUGGAAAACCUUGUGGAGAAAUGGAAAUAAAGAUAAGUUUACUUUGGUGCAAAAUAUAGAAAUCCAGGCAUAUUUUUUCAUAGCGUGCAUACUGUUAACUUUUUCAAGGCUGUGAUACAGGUCCCAAGGCUCUUUGCACUAGUGCAGAGAAGGAACAGUUCUUUCGAAAUCCACCUACAGUCCCAUCUCCUCUGAAAGUCUCACCCAGUUUAGUACCACCAGAAUCUAUUACCUCUGUUAUUCGAAAAAUGUGUGUGUGUUGGA